rnacentral:rRNA from 1 species
CAUGUCCUUUUGAUUAUAAAUUAAGGUCUAAUCUGCCCAAUGAGGUUUUGAAUGGCCGCAGUAUUUUGACUGUGCUAAGGUAGCAUAAUCAAUAGUUUUUUAAUUGAAAGCUAGAAUGAAUGAUUGAAUGAGAAAGUAUCUGUCUCAAUUUUAAUAUUUUGAAUUUUAUUUUUAAGUUAAAAAGCUUAAAUAAAAUUAAAAGACGAGAAGACCCUAUAGAGUUUAAUAUUAAGUUAUGUAGAAAUAUAUUAUUUGAUUAAUUUUAUAUUAAUUUAAUAUUUAGUUGGGGUGAUUAAAAAAUUAAAUUAACUUUUUUUUAUUUUUCACAUAAAUUAAUGAAUUAAUGAUCCUAAAAUUUAGAUUAUAAGAAUAAAUUACCUUAGGGAUAACAGCGUAAUUUUUUUUAAGAGUUCUUAUCGAAAAAGAAGAUUGCGACCUCGAUGUUGGAUUAAAAUUUUAUUUUGGUGUAGAAGCUAAAAUUAUAGGUCUGUUCGACCUUUAAAAUUUUACAUGAUCUGAGU